UAUCCACUCACCUUUACCCCUCACCCCCACCCAUGGUUUGAAAGAAAGAAAGAAAGGAAGGAAGGAAGAAAGGAAGAAAGGAAGAAAAGAGAAAGAGAGGGAGCAGGGAGAAGAGAGGGAGGUGACGGCACCGACGGGGUUGCAUAUCGCCGUCGCUGUUGUCAGAACAGAGAAGGAGAGGGAGGAGACGUUGAGAGAGAGAGGAAUGUUGUCUAGCCAAAUGCAAGAGAGAGAGGGGGCCACCGCAAUCCACGCUGCCGGUGGAGGGAUCGUCGCACAUCACUCUGCCGUCAAGAUCGCCGCCGUCAUCGUCCAGUGUCGCCGUCACGUCGCCAUUGAAGAAGAGAGGGAGAAGAGAACAUAGGCUAGUGGCCCAGGGGGAGGAGUUACCGCCGUUCGUACCUUCCUCGCCGUUGCUCCCUUGCCGUAGCCACUGUUUGUGUAGUGACCGGAGGGAGCCGUGGCUGUUCGUGCCACCGUCGGAGCUGCUGCUCCAUUCCGUCGCUGUCUUUGUGCUCAGGAAUGUUUGUUCCCUCUUCCUUUGACCCCUUCACCCAACAAUGUACCGAAUUCCUAAGCUAAAAAGCAAAUUGAGCUUUAGGGUUUUAUUAAGGUGUAAUCUGAUAAUUUUAAAUCUGAUAGCUUUAAAGCCUUCAAAGCCCUCAAAGCCUUGCUCUACCACUCUUCGCCCGUUGUCAUCGCCAGAUUUGUGAUCUGGUUGCUGAUGCUAGGUUUUUAAAUGCAACUCUCAUAAUUCCGGAAAUCCAAGAAAGUACUCGCUCAAAAGGAAUUAGCUCUAAGUUCAAUAGCUUUUCCUAUAUCUACAAUGUUGAUUAGUUCAUAGCCUAAAGCAAUCUAAGUUCUGCCAGAAGGUCUGAUGGAAAGGAGAAGAAAAAAUGAAAUUCCUUCAUUUAAGACUACAAGUUCUGCUUCUCCAGACUUUUACCUGGAUCAAAUUUUACCAAAGCUAAAGCAAUUAAAGGUUAUCGGAUUAAUUAUUACAAAUGGUGCGGCUCUGCAGUCUAUUCUCCCUCCUGACAUGGAAGAUAGUCAGAGGCUAUGAUGCAGGGUUGCUUUUCACUGGAAAUCAUUGGAUAUGCUAAACACAGUGAGGAUGCCAAAUUUUGUUUUGAGGCUAAUUUAGAGAUGUGCUGAACAAAGUGGGGAUGAUAUGAAGAAAAUAUUUUCCAUAGCAAUAUAUAUAUAUAUAAUUUAGUUAUCUAAAUGUAAUAUUUUGAUGUGUUAUGUAUUUUUUGUAAAUAGAUUUUACCCGUUAUUACAUAUAAUGAAUAAAAAUAUAU